rnacentral:lncRNA from 10 species
GGUCCGGUGUCCAAGCCCCACCUCCAGAGUCAAGUCCUGCCUCCUAUCUCAAGAUAAUCAGAAGGAGCGGAAGUCUGAAAACAACCAAUCAUCCUGGAAGAAGACCCUGAGCUUUAGAUAAGACUACAGCUCCAGCUGACACCUUGAUUUCAGCCCCAUGAGACCCUGAGCAGAGAAUCCGGUUGAGCCGUGCUUGGAUUUUGACCUAUAGAGCUGUGAGAUAAUACAUUUGUGUUGCUUUAGUUGAUGCACUUCUGUCAAUUUGUUACACAGCAAUGAGAACUGAAUAAGGGAGAAACAAAUGCUGGGUAGACAGAAGCGACGGAUGUGCAUGAGGAGCUGAGACAGACAGCUGCCUGGAAUUGAGCCUUACUUAGCCUGGAAGGUAUGACUAUGUCUGUGAAUCCUUAUUGGAAGAAGUUUUAUUGGUCAGACAUCCUGUUCCAUGUCAGCCUCUCCCUCUAGGAUCUUUUGCUUCCUGCAAGGAGUGGGGCCUGAUGGCAGCAUGGAGUAGUGGUUAAGCCCGUGGACUUUGGAAUCAGGUUUUCUGCGCUCAAGUCUUGUCACUGCGAUCUACUAGCUGUGUGACCUUGGCAAGUGAGUAUGCUGUGGAGGCCCAUGAGCAAGGAUCUGAGAGAG